rnacentral:lncRNA from 1 species
UGCGCGCGGGCGGGGCGGGAGGGGGCGGGGCGAGAGCUCGCGGCCUUCCCGCCGCGGCCGAGGGUGGCGGGGCGGAGCCGCGCCGUGACAGGGCCGAGCCGGGAGGGUUUGUCGCGGAGCGCGGCCGGGGGAUCGCCUCAGCUUCCCCCGCAGCCCGGCUCCGCCUGAGGGCAGCUUUCCCGCGCUGGAAGCCCCUCCCGCCUCACCGCGGCGCUCCCCCGCCGCGCCUCAGGCGGCCCCGAGCCCUCCCGCCGCUGUCUGCGCCCGUGGUGCCGUGGCGGUGUUGUGGCAGCUUUGCAGCGGUGUGGUGGCGGUGCCACGGCAGCGUUGUGGCGGUGUGGGAGCGGUGUGGGAGCGGUGCCGCAGGCGCAGGGCGCGCAGCUCCGCGCUUUGUUCGGCACGAGGCCGGUGGGCGCGGGGUCCCACACGCAGGCGGGCGGGCGGGCCGCAGCCGGGCCGGGAGCCCUCAGCGCUGCUCUCCGGGGACUCUCGCAGCCCCUCGGCCAUCUGCGGUCAGCGCGGACAUCUGGCAGGCAGCUGCAGGAGGUGAAGGCGGUGGGUGGGUCGGAUCGGGGCCGGCGGGUCGGAGUGCGCGCAUCUCGGCGACGUGAGUGACUCAGACGAGCAGGGUUCAAAAGCGGCAGCUGGACGGGGUACGGCGGGAGCCGUUGUGAAGCGCGGAGACGUUCGGUGGGGCCGCGCACGGCCGUCCCUCGGUUACACGUCUGCGGUCAGCCGUACGAAGGACGCCGUCUGCAGCCCGCGGGUUCAGCUGCCCGUCACAAAGCUCCGCUUCCCGCGCAGCGCGGCUCUGCAGGUGCCCUCUGACCUCGGCUGCACAAGGAACGCACGCCUUCCUCCCUGCUUUCUCCUGCGGACAAACGUGCAGUCUUUCUCUUGUUAGAUUUCCAGCGUCUCAGCUCGGAGACGGUUGCUAAAAUAUAACAAAAUACAAACGAUUCCAUAUGUAUAUGGAUUGGGCGGGCUAUAUUUUGGAAUAAGAUCGGCCUUCGAAGUCAGCCUGCCUGUCUGUAGAUGUUUAUCUCAGCCUGAGGUACAACCUGUGCAGAGCAGAAGAUCCCUUCUUACUGUAUGCAGUAAAUGGUGCCCUUCGCUGGGCAAAGUAUUCACUACAAUCUUCCCUGACGAAAAGACCCGUGUAGCUUCCUUAUAUGAGGAGUGUCUAUUUUAAGAAUGUGGAACCGUUCAAACUGAGAAAAGGUAGGGUGAGAAGUAACAGUAACAGCAGCAAUAAUGAUAAGUGCAGAGUUCAAAGGCGGACACAAGGAGUUGUUUAGAAUGGGUGACAUGAUGUUAGGACAGAUGGUGUAACUGAAGGUAGAGGAGCAGUACUUCCUCUUCUGGUGUAUAUUUUUGUAUUUUUGUGGGGUUUUUUGAUGGCAGCACAGAGGAAGGGAUCAUCCCUUACCAAAACAACUGUGGGGAUGUUGAAGGGAGACAGUGCACAAACGUGGCAUGAACUGUUCACAGGGAAGGAGUGAUGUGUACCCAUAUGGAAUUCUAGUUGUAAUCAUCAUGGCCAUAAAUCAGCCUGUCUCUGGAAGAUACUCUUGUAAUUAAUUACCUCAGUAGCUGAGGUACCUCAGAUGAGUAUCUGAGAGAGGUAGGAAUUUCUUUUAUGCUGUUGUAGACAUUUUAGAAGUUGGCAGGGGGAAAAAUAACCAGAGAUGGCACAGGGAAGGCUACAGAACAAAUUAUAUAAAGGCAGAAACACAUCCCCCCCUAGGACAGGGGUAUCCAACUUUUGGACUUGCCUGAGCCCCAUUGAGUAAGGAGCAAUUGUCAUGGGGGUGCAUAUAGAAUAUAUAAGAUAGUGAAUGUAUAUAAGUAACAAAACGUUUUUAUAUAUUUUUAAGUAAGACAUAAAAAAGGACAACAACAACAUAAAACUAGGGGUUAGACACGUGUUUAACUAAGAAAUGCAAACAUAAAAGGAGGAGGUGCUUUCAUGGGUUAGGCUGAGCUUUGUACAGAUGCACACUCUUUGUAGGGCAGUUUCAAUAUUUGAGAUGAAAUCUUAGCUGUUUCUAUAUGUUUGUAUUGAAGUGCACAUUUUCAGAAGACAAAUGGCAAUGUAUCUUGGCUCACCAGCUGGUGAUUUGUACAUGGAUUUUGGAAGAUGGAGGUAAUCUUAAGAGACCCUUUCAUAAAAAUGGGUAAAUGGAUGUUGUAUGUGAUACAAAAAAAAGGUUGGUGAAGCUGAAGUUUGCAGUUUGGUCACAAAAACCGAAGGAUGAAGUCUCAUAAGCCAGACCUAGAUUCUAAAAAAAGAUGUUUAGGCAUCUGUCUUCCAUUCAGAUGAGUAAGAGAACUCAGAACUAAGUUUAGAAAUAAUUAGGACAAAAAAAGAGAUAACUGUCUAUCUAGGACAGUGGGGAGCACUGAACGUAGCCUGAAAUACAGAGUUCCAUUAGGAAAAAUCUCUGACUGUUUGUUUUGCUGCAUAGGCUGCUUUGUCUGGGGUAGUGGUAUGGUGAAGCCACAGGAUCACAGAGUGAUUGGGGUUGGAAGGGACUCUGGAGAUCAUCUAGUCAAACCCUCUGCGCAAGGAAGGUCCCCUGGAGCGCAGUACCCAGGAACGUGUCCAGAUGCUUUUGUGUAUCUCCAGGAAAGGAGAUUGCACAGCCUCUGGGCAGCCUGUUCCAUUGCUCGGUCACUCUCAGUUUUUCCCCGUGUUCAGACAGGACUCCCUGUGUUUCAGUUUGUGCCCAUUGCCUCUUAUCCUUGCAGUGAAGUACAACCCUCUGUGCAUCCUCACAGGUGCUCUGAAAUGAGGGGAUGGGAUCAUCAGGUUUCCUCUGGUGUGAGAUCAGAGACCUUCUUGGUACGCUUUACAGUAGUCUCAGUGCAGAGAUGGAGGAGCAGCCAGGAGAACAGCCUGACGCACUGCUUUGUGGGCAACCUUUUCAGAACAAGAUAAUAUGUUUUGGAGAGCACAGGUUGUUGCAUUUGGUUCAUACUUCAGACCUCUAGAUGUUUCAGGGUGUCAGAUUUUACCAUUCCCUGUGUAGAAGUCUAUCUUUACUAAUUGGGUUUGCCUAAAACUUCCAGAAGUCUCCAUAGCAGUGUUUCUUUAAGAGCUCCUCUUGUUUUAAUACUUCUUUCUCUCUCCACAAAAUAUGGAGUACAUUCAGGCUAUCAGAAUUGAACAAUACUUACCUCACUGGGACUGAGGCCUGAAUAGGGCUGAACCAAGAUCCUGGUGUCCAGUUCUUGCUAGUGCAAACCAAAUCACAGGGCAACAUACAUCACUAGGCUGAGAAUACAUAGGAAGAAGGUCCUUUAUUAGAUGUGAAACAGGGACCACAUUUGCAUUAGUUGUCUAUAGUGGACUCUGUUGUCGAGCCAAAGAAAUGAACCUCCCUCUCCUUAUGUGUGUUACAAACAACUACUUGGUUCUGCUUCUUUCUGUUAGCUAGGUGAUGUAUCAUUUUACCCAGACUCGGCAGUAUGCUGUUCUUUUCCUGCCUAACAUCUGCUGCAGUUUUCAUAGCUUGAAUUGCUCUUUGACUAGUUGUAAAAGGCAUGUUUCAGAAAUGUCUUUAAGGAUGUGAAUUAUUAUUCACCCUUUUCUUCUUCCUUUAUGUUUGUUCUUUGACUUCUUAAAAAAAAAAAAAAAGAAGUUCAAAGUUUUAAUUCAUGUUUAUGUUAAAAACCAAGAUUAGUAAGGCUGAUUCAUAGCAAUAGGAUUUUAGUGCUGUUUCAGAAAGUAAUUUAUUUUUGCAUAACAGUAACUGGCAUUUAAUCUCCUUCAUUUUUUAGAAGCUGAACUAUAAAUCAGUCUUCACUCAUGACAGCAGUGUCUCUGGCAGGUUGGUUCUAACUGGCACAUCUCCUUACUGCUGUGCUAUUGGUGUGCGUUCUGUCCACAUCCACCGGAAAAUUUGGACAUUUACUGUUCCAAAGAUUUUGCAUUGUUUGUAUUUCAUACCCUGUUUUUCUAUUACUUGUUGUACGGAAAAGAUUUUCUUAAUACACUUUUAAACCACAUUUUUUUUUUUUUUCUGUAAAAUAACCUUAAUGGUAACACCUGAGAUACAGGAUUUCAAUUUUCACACUCAUUUCAUGUAAAUGUGCUCGGCUUUUUUCUUCCAGAGAGCCUCACAGCUUUGCCUUGGGCUCUCCAUUUCACAGAGCAGCAUUUACUCUGCUCGUGACAUCACAUGUGACAAACUCCUAAACUUGUAAAGGCUAUCUGGGAAGUAAAGUUCUUAUUAAGACAUUUUGAACAAAAAGGUUUGUGCAAGUAUAACUCAGAGCAGAAAUUGGCCUAAAAAAGUUUCACAUUUGAUGAAGCAUUAAGAACCAGAGGUGGAGUUGAGAGUGAUGUUGUGAGUUAGUAAAAAACAUAUUUUAAUAUAAGCUGUAUGAAAUCUGUUAUUUGCAUCCCCAAGAGAAUGAACUGGAACCCAAGAAUGACAGUGCUGAAUGAUUUCCAGUAACUCUCUGAAACGAUUUGAGCAGUAAUAGGAUAACAAUGCUGUCUGUGCAGGUCAAGAAGCAGGUGGCUUCUUGCUCCACCCAGAUACAGGAGAGGAUGGUACACCUCCUGCAGGAGAGGUGGUCCUUAUGAAUUAAAAAGUUUGGAACUUAGAAUGCCUAAAAGCAGACAAAUGGCAGGAGAAGGUUUAAGGGCUCUGUUUUCUGUGACUCGUUAUGACUGGGUAAGAGCUAGCACGUUUAUGAUCACGCCAAAACAAUACGUGUUCCAGUGUGUAACUUGACAUAGCUUUUACGGUCACAAGGAAGUUAAGUUUGAAGAGUUCUUAUUGGGGAUGCUGCCAAGUCGUGCAAUUCUAUGUAGACUGCUGCACGUGAAGGAACAGUAAUGAAUGAGUGAAUUUACUGGCCCACUAAGCUGUACAGAGCAGCAAAACUCGCUCCCUUUUUUGCUCUGCUGAAAAUAAUUAAGAGAAACAAGGUUUACAGUUUCAUAAAAACAACUGGACUUUCUUGCAGAAGAACAUACGAACUGCUACUUCCCUAACUAAUCAUCUUCUCUAAACGAGACAUGGUAUUUCUUGCUCGCCAUUUUGUCCUGUUGUUAAUAAGUGAUUAGUUUACACAGAUGGAUGGGUUUACUGUCCUAGCUAGAAAGUAAAGUAACAAUGACUCGCUAUAUAGAACUCUGCAGUAAUGAAGGAGUAUUACAAGUAACCUCAUGCAGAAAAAUUGACAAUAAGGAAUAAGUUAACAUAAAAAACUUGGCCCUCCAUCUGGAGUAUCAUUUCCUUUGGGUUGGCAGGUUUCCCCAUCUUGUGUUAUGAGAGAUAAAAUAUUUGUCUGACUGCUUCAGAAGUCGCACUGGUUUCUUCUGUCAACUGUGGGAACUCAUCCCAUAUUUAACUGAGUUAUUGGAUUAGUUCGGAGUUUCAAAAAUGAGCAAAAGCUCGUUAAAGGAAUAGGGGCAUGGCCUUCAACUCUGUCUCUGAUAGGGAGGAUAUAUUUUAGGUAGAGUAAGAAUGUAACCUAUAGUCUGGAUUAAUAUCCCUGACUGUUUUGUACUGCUGGAGAAUUCAGAAGAAACCAACAGUGCGUAAUAGCCUUUCUUGCUGUGCUUUCAUUAAGUCUGAGGCAGCCCAAUAAAGAAGCUACAGCAUGAUUUAUUUUAAUCAAUUAAUAUGGAGAAUUCAUUAAAAUAAACUUGGCAAAAUCUUACUUACAUACUUCUUGCAUUCCAAAUCCACAAAAUGUGAAGAUACAAUCUCAUUAUAACCAUCAGAACAAACCUCCUUUACUACAUUUCUUUCAUUUUUUGUCUUUACACUGUGCUGUUCCCGUACUUCUAUCUCCACUGACUUUCCAGUUCAGUGUAUUUUGUGUCUGUUUUCUUUAUAAUGUCACUAGGAUUAGUUAGGUUGCUCUUGCCAUCCCAUACAGCUCAGUAAGAGCACUUGGCAGGCUGAUGAGGGUUGGAGUAAGGAGGACAAUUGAGCCAUUUCUGUCACCUGAAGGCGACUUUCAGAAAUGCUUGCACAUGUGAUUAUCCUUCCAAUUAAAAUCUACAGGAAUAUGGAUCUUGAUCUAUGUGUUUUACGUACACUGAAAGUUCUACCAUCUCUGCCCUCUUAAUCCUAUUUGAUGUUUCCUAUUGCUGAGCUACAUGUGUAUCUGAGCACAAACACGAUCCUCUGUUUAAAUAACAACUGUUUAAAAAGAGGAGUACCGUGGGGCUUUUAAAUGAUUUAGAUAAGGGCAUAGGAACAAAGAAUGCUUCCAGCUCUGUUUUGUAACUUGCCAUCUCUAGGCAUUGUGACAAAACAAAUGCCAAUCACAUGCCAAAUAUUUUCAUCUACAGCAACUGCUGUUUCACAGCUGACAUGGCACUAACUGUACCUGUUCUUGGGACUGGCCAAAACCAAGCAAGAUGAAGAUUUCUCUUCGAUUCCUUCAUUUAUGCUUCAUUUCAUUAUGUUUUUGUUUGUUUGUUUGUUGAAGAUGAGUGAGUGGAGGGCAGCACCUGAAGAAAGAGGAUAAAGCUGAUUGCCAUAACUGGCUAGCUGUUAGACAGCAAAAACUCCUUCUGAGGGUGCAAAAAGGCAACAGCAAAGAAAUGUCUUAUAACUGUAUUGACUGGAAAAGUUCAAGCAGACUUCAGCUCUCCAGGGAGCUCCAGUUGUAAGUGCACACUGCCCUGCUUGUGAUACACAGAACAGAGAGUGCAGUAACAUCACACCUUCUGGGUUCCUAUCUCCUGUGGCUUUAUCUGAUACACAAAGGAGCAUAUAAGGGAGCAUAAAAACGGGGGGGGGGGAGAAUGGCUGUUUACAAGGGUGGAUAGUAAUAGGACAAAGGGGAAUGGUUUUAAACUGAGACAGGGCAGGUUUAGGUUAGAUAUUAGGAGGAAGUUUUUCACCCAGAGGGUGGUGACGCACUGAACAGGUUGCCCAAGGAGGCUGUGGAUGCCCCAUCCCUGGAGGCAUUGAAGGCCAGGCUGGAUGUGGCGCUGGGCAGCCUGGUCUGCUGGUUGGCGACCCUGCAUAUAGCAGGGGGUUGGAACAAGAUGAUCUCUGAGGUCCUUUUCAACCCAGGCCAUUCUAUGAUUAGAAGGAUGAGGAGGCAACGCAUAGCAACACAUUGGUGUCAAGAAAACAGUCUGUAUGUUGGCAUAGACAGGGAACUCUUCUUGUGGACUUUGAAUCUCAGUUUCAGUCAGACCAACUAUACCUUUCGGAAUGAGCUGCUGACAGCUAGUUUAAACUGUAGCUCACUGUUUACCUCAAGCCGAUCACUUUAGUAAACACCGUGUUCCUUUUUCCCAAGGUAUUGAUUGGCAUCUCCUAUGUUUUCCCAAAUACACUUUGUAGGGAGUAGAGAGGAAUGAAUUAUCUUUUAUCAGGUAACUGUAUUUGCAAUUGUUGUAGCUGAUAGUGGCAACAUGUAGGAAAGUUGAACUUGGAGGAGGACUAGUAAACAGAUUAUCUAAUAAAAACAGCAUGAAGCCAAGGAAAUUGCAUAAAGCCUAUGAGUGCAUAUAGUGUAAAACUGGCAGGAAUAUGUUGCAUCUCAAGAGAUCUCACAGAGUCCAGGGAAUAAAGAAAAUCUACAAGGAAGACAGUUUUUUUCCUUUUCUUUAUCUUUUCUUUCUUUUCCUGCAGGGUUCUAGUGAUCAUCCUUAGAAAGGUGAGGCUGUGCCUAUAUUCCCCUUUGGAAAUACAAGGCAGUUUGUCCAGUGGCUAGCACAGCAGAAGCUGGGGAGGUAAGGAAGAUAUGAGACCUUUACCUAUCCUUUUUUAAAGAGCCAUUGGGGUCCUGUUGAUUUACCUGUUGGUACAGGUUCCAGUGCAGGGAAUCAUAAAUGAGGAAAAGGAGCAGUGAUCCGUACUGCUUCAACAGUGAACAGUGAGUAAUGGUGAACAGAAUGUGAGAUGCUGAAUGAUGCUGGUAAGUCGGGGAAGAACUAGAGCAGCUCUGAGUUAAGAGGGCUCAACAGCGGCCAGAACUGAAACUUCCACUGUAUCAGUGUGCCGUGGCUCAGACCUCUGAUGAUAUAUUGUUGACAAAACAUCCCUGUCAGGAUAACAAUUCACUCACAAAGAAUCCCACAAUUGAAGCCAAAACUGAGAAGACCACCUCUCAGUAAAAAGGAAUAUUUCAAACCUACUCUAACGAAUCCAGACUGUAAAAUGUGCAAAUUGGAUUUGCAAUAAUGAGACCGAUCAGUAGGCACAUUUUCGUGACGCUCUCUGUCAGACUAUCAUUUGGAAAGAGGGACUCAAGUUUCCAAAAGUUACUUUAAUUUGCUUAGAGAAGAAAGCAUUUUCAUUUUGCUCAGUCAGUUCAAAUCAUUUGCUAAAUUCAAAAUAUGUGAACUGACUGAAGCUAGCUGUAGUGUCCAGCAGGACCAUUAAUCUUUUAGUGACAUGUUAUUUUUUUCCAUGAAUCGUGUAGACUUGCACAAGACUUUUUUCAUAACAAAUAAAACACAAGUCUUUAUUGACAUGUCUGCUUCUUGUCUCUUCAACAGACAUUCUGGACAUUUGCUAGUAAUCUCCAUUCAGAAUAUUUGCUUUGAAAAAAAAUCUAGCUGCUGGGAUGUGUCAUUGGAAACUUCCAUUGUCUUGUAGGAGUUCUUUAUCUUAGUAAAGUUCCUCCAUUCUUCCCUUACAGAUGAGUCUGGAUAUUGAUACUUCCAAUCUUGGCAAGCAGUAGCAAGCAUGACAAGUUAGAUUAAGAGCAGUUGGGAAGGAAAAACAGUUUUCCACAACUCUUUUAUACUGUAAAGCCUGGGAGGCUUUUAAACAAUGAUCCUUUAUCCUACCAUACAUUCCCUGGACGUCCUCUUUUGGGCACAAAAUGCUGAACUGCAUGGACUCUGGGAGGUCUCAGUACUGCCAUACUUAAAUAACUCCCAUAUGAAUUGCAUACAGCAUUUAUUAGGGAUUCAGUCUUUAAACUGUCCUAUAAAAACUAGGGAAGAUUCCCAAGGCGUUUGAGUGUUCAGCUAACUUUUCUUUUCGAAACCUAGCUCAUCAGUGGUUUUUCUUUAAAAGAUUGUUUCUGUGUAUUUCCCAGCAACCAGGUAUCUUUAAAAGGAGGAAAUCCCUUGUCACAUAUCCGUACAAGCAAUACUGGCAUCUUUUAUGAAAAAAAGAAUUUUCUGCUUCACUGACAAAGUUCCAAUGGCUGUUAUGCAUAUACAAACAAUCCAAUGGGUGGUUUCAGCAUCUCUCUUCCACAGCAGCCUUGUAUUAGAUGUCUCUGACACCAAAUUGCAGUUGAAGGGUUGGUACAUUUGUAGCUGCAGAAGUGGACUGGUACCCACCAGGGCAGACACCAUCCUUAGGUGGAAAUAGGAACGUAGGUGGGUAUGGUUACAGUAAAAGGAACUGUAGAGUUUCUGUCAAAAUCUACUGUUCAUCUCUUCUUCUUUUACAAUGUGAGGGUUAAGGCAUAUUCCUGGAACAUACCAAGCUUAAUUUUGAAUUAUUAACCCCUGGCUAGUAGGAGCCUUAGGCUUAUUCAGAGAUUCACCAAUGGAUGGCUGAUGUACAUGGCCAGAUUUUAACACCAAGACUUUAACAAUAUCUCAGGUUUCCAAGGCAAAGACAGUGAAGUGCAGAGACUGCGAAGAGGUGCUAAAGUUGUUUUAUUUAUCUCCAUAUGCUCGUCUGUCCUAAGACUGCAUUUGCCACCAAUUCCAAGUAAGCUUCACCAUUUUAAAUUACCAGAGGCUGGGCAGGGAACAGAAAAAGAAGCAGAGAAGGGGAGCAAAAAAAUUACCAAUCGAAACUAUCAUUAUCAGGUUUUCAUCCUUUAUUGAUGGGUGUUCAGAGUUGCGACUGGGCAGUUAAGACUCGAAGGAGCUGCAUAUAGACACCCCAAAGCAACUACCCUUCUUCCCCCAAGCCAUCUCCAGACUGCAGACUCUUCUGAUACAUCCCUUAUUACAGUAAUCCAUAUUGCUGUCAUCUCUGCUGGAUGGUCUUGUGAAGAAUUCUCAGCUGACUCCAGGUUUUUGAAAAUAGAGAAUUGCAUUAGCACUUGUAUCCUGAGACAGUCCCUGUGCCAUGGUCUACACAGCCUAAUUCUAGGGGAAAAAAAUAAGUAUUUCAAAUAAUAAUAUACAAAACAGAGCAUGUUAAAAGGACUUACAGCCCUCUAUGUUUCCUGUAUAGCUCCUGCUAAUUUGUGCUCUUUGACACUAGGGAGAAUCCAUACUUGCCUCUAAUGUUUAAGACUUCAUGAUGUAAUUGCUGAUGGGUGAAAUAUGUACUAUUUCCUACAUAGAGAGUCUGACUCUCUCUGCACCAACACCAGCAAUCCACUGCCAGGAUUCCUAUGCUAGCUGCUCUUUUUACAGUUUAAAACAGAAGGUGAGCAGUUCAAAUCAGAGGAGCUGGAGUCCCAGUCCUGAAGAACUCAGACUAAAAAGUGACUUCCAAUAGCAAAUGAGAGGUAGAGUACGAAAAGAUAAAUUAUUCAGUAAUAAAUGUUACACACUUACAAUGCACAAGUUGUAAUGCAUCUCAGUUGCUCUUGUAAUUCGGUACAGUCAUUUGCCUAAUAUGGUAAAUAUGCCAUAUGGUAUACUAAUAAAGAAAGCGUUAGAACAAAGACAUGAUGAUUUCUAAGUUUUUAUUUCUAAUUUUGUAUGCAACUGUAAGCUGCAUUCCAGCUGUCCUAAAAUACAAGCAGUAGAAGAACAGAGGCUGCUCUGCCCCUUCAUGCUGACUACCACUGCCACGCGAUAAUUUAAUCCAUCUCUCACAUGGCUCCUACCAACACUGCAUCCCAGCUCCAGGCCGUGCUCCUAUUUGGAUGCUGUGAAAGAAAGACA